rnacentral:rRNA from 1 species
AUUGAACGCUGGCGGCAGGCUUAACACAUGCAAGUCGAGCGGGGGAAGGUAGCUUGCUACCGGACCUAGCGGCGGAUGGGUGAGUAAUGCUUAGGAAUCUGCCUAUUAGUGGGGGACAACAUCUCGAAAGGGAUGCUAAUACCGCAUACGUCCUACGGGAGAAAGCAGGGGAUCUUCGGACCUUGCGCUAAUAGAUGAGCCUAAGUCGGAUUAGCUAGUUGGUGGGGUAAAGGCCUACCAAGGCGACGAUCUGUAGCGGGUCUGAGAGGAUGAUCCGCCACACUGGGACUGAGACACGGCCCAGACUCCUACGGGAGGCAGCAGUGGGUAAUAUUGGACAAUGGGGGGAACCCUGAUCCAGCCAUGCCGCGUGUGUGAAGAAGGCCUUAUGGUUGUAAAGCACUUUAAGCGAGGAGGAGGCUACUCUAGUUAAUACCUAGGGAUAGUGGACGUUACUCGCAGAAUAAGCACCGGCUAACUCUGUGCCAGCAGCCGCGGUAA